GCUGCCUCUCACACCUGUGAGUCGUUAGGCUCGUUAUGGCAGCUUCUAAAGGAGAGGGUCGCUGAGCAUUCGACGCCCGAGUGUCGUCCUUUGUGGUACCUCAAGCCCUGUAUCCUGUUCCUGAUUUGCAAAUCCUCUGAGAUCUUCUUGUGAUGUAGCUCUGUUCCUUUUUAAGGUGUCACCCCAGAUCCUUCUGGUGGUUCCUGUGCAACCUGUUCUCACUCUCCUUCUGAAGUUCCCAUUUGGAUCGCAGGCUUGCCAUCACCGGGUCCUAGAUGCUCAGCUACCUAACCUGUCCGGCCUCCAACGAACUGCUUACCUUUGGGAAAACACAGACCUUCCAUCCAAGAACUGACCUCCCCUCCCGGACUCCUAUUUCUCCCUGCAACAUGGACGUUCCGCUGGAGCCGCCCUGAAUUCCUCAUUUAUAUCAUAUCCCUUCUGAAUAAAUCUCUUAAACUUCA